GACGAACGCUGGCGGCGUGCUUAACACAUGCAAGUCGAACGGAAAGGCCCUGCUUUGGUGGGGGGCUCGAGUGGCGAACGGGUGAGUAACACGUGAGUAACCGUCCUUUGACGUGGGGAUAACUUCAGGAAACUGGGGCUAAUACGGGAUAGGAGCUCCUGCGGCAGGGUGGGGGUUGGAAAGCUGAGGCGGUUGGGGAUGGACUCGCGGCUUAUCAGCUUGUUGGGGGGGUAGUGGCUUACCAACGCAGUGACGGGUAGGCUACCUGAGAGGGUGACCGGGCCCAUUGCGACUACGAUACGGAGCAGACUCCUAUGGUAGGCAGUAGUCGAGAAUCUUGCCCAGCAGGCGGAAGCCUGUUGAAGCAACGCCCCGGGCGGGAUGACGGCGUUCGGGUAGUAAACCGCUUUCGCCUGUGACGAAGGGUGAAUGACGGUAACGGGUGAAGAAGCACCGGCUAACUACGUG
rnacentral:rRNA from 1 species